GAUGAACGCUAGCUACAGGCUUAACACAUGCAAGUCGAGGGGAAACGAUGAGAGAGCUUGCUCUCUUAGUCGUCGACCGGCGCACGGGUGAGUAACGCGUAUCCAACCUGCCUCUGACCAAGGGAUAACCCGUCGAAAGUCGGACUAAUACCUUAUGCAGUCGUCGGAAGUCAUCUGAUGACGACGAAAGAUUUCAUCGGUGAGAGAUGGGGAUGCGUCUGAUUAGCUUGUUGGCGGGGUAACGGCCCACCAAGGCGACGAUCAGUAGGGGUUCUGAGAGGAAGGUCCCCCACAUUGGAACUGAGACACGGUCCAAACUCCUACGGGAGGCAGCAAUGAGGAAUAUUGGUCAAUGGGCGUAAGCCUGAACCAGCCAAGUAGCGUGCAGGAUGACGGCCCUAUGGGUUGUAAACUGCUUUUAUGCGGGGAUAAAGUGAGGGACGUGUCCUUCAUUGCAGGUACCGCAUGAAUAAGGACCGGCUAAUUCCGUG
rnacentral:rRNA from 1 species